rnacentral:lncRNA from 1 species
UCGCAUUAUUUUUUCCAGAAUUGGGUGUGGGUACUCUCUAAACUGGAUUGAGUGAGCUAAAUCUGUGCAUCAAAAUUGUAGUCUGUAGCUUUAUGUGUUACGUCUUAAGAUUGAACUUGAAGAUUGCUUUUGGGAGUAGUUUUAGUUGGUAGAUGUUUCAGGCUCCAAAUACGCACACAUUAUGUGCUUAAUGUGUGGCAUAAACAUGAUCAGUUUUAUGCUUAGAAACCAAACCACUGUCCACCCAUUUUAUUUCUUCAUGAGUAUUUUGUGUUGAAAUCAGAUCACCGUUCACCUGUUCUCGUACUGUUGUCUUUAACUUAUUUUGCCGAUUCUCAAUAAAAUGCUCAGUUCAGGAUGUGAUUUUCAGUUUUAGGCAUUUGAUACUUUUGGCACUGAGCAAAAAAAAUUCCUCUGAGCGUGUACCUUCAAAUGCAAAGUUCUGACUAUGAUUUCGCAUGCGAUCACACCGCCGUCGGUCGCUCUGCCUACCGAGUGCCACCCCGCCGCCUCCCCCACUCCCCCCACCUGGGACCUCACCGCCCGCUCUAUCUAAUAUAUUUUCCAGUUUUCUUAUAGUCGCCAAUACAAAUGUCCGCUUGAGUGUCAAAAGGCAGCAGGGAUAAUGAAAAAAGUGUAUGGGUUCGUUGCUACAUUGUAGUAGUUAUGUACAUCUCAAAUUUUCAGCCCAGGAUUUUUAUUUUGACUGAUGUGAGUAUUUCUUAGUCAGUCUUCAUCUUCCAGCUUUGACUGAAAAUAACUCUCCUGAAAACUGUUGGCAAUACUCACAAUGUGAUCUACAAAGAAACAUUUGAUGAUCUUGCUUGAUAACUUACCGGCGGGCAGAAAAUAUAUCAUGUUAGUACCAUUCGUAAGCAAACAUGUACCUUAUUUCUGCUUAGAUGUUCUCUGUUUCUUAUUUCAUAAGUGUUUUGCAUUCCCUAUAGAAGCUGACCGGCCAAAUUUAUGUUUACUACACUAGCAUAGUCUCUCAAGUACUGCACUCCAGCAGGCCACCCAACCCAUAUUUAAAAUCGGGUACUUUUAGUUCUGACUGCAGUCAUAUAGAUAUUCAUGUAUAAAAUUGUUUGCCUUUUGUUCUGGUUAAAUCCAGUGAUGGCGCUCUAGGUGAUCAUGCUUCUUAGCCGCUAUUAGCGGGCGAAGGCGCAGCGUGUACAAGUAUAUCUUUCCACAUAGAAAAUAAUUCAUCUACACAAGCCUUCAGAACAGGGUAGAUUUCCUAGAAGGCGACACCAAAUAGAUCAAUUUUGUACCCAGGUUUCCUUUCAAGCUUAGAAUUAUCAAAUUCUACUACAGUUUAUAUUUGAUGCAUGAAAUUGACCUCUUAGCAAUCACCGGUUCAACAAUCUUUGUAUUAUAUGCAACCAUCAGGCUUAUGCAUAUAAUCGUUCAGGUCCUGAUUUUUUAAAUUAAAUAUUCUUAAUGUUGAGCAUUUUUUUUUACAGAUUCAGUUCAUUAUUCAGGAUCACAAGAGUCCAAUUCUUAUGUGGUUCAGGAAGCACCAAUGAUAAUAUGAGUUAGACGGCUAUACAACUCAACUUAUCUACUGAAACAAGAUGCUUAGCGGAUCAACAAGAUGCUUACAGAUAUAGAAUAGCAGGAGGGUGAGGUGUGCGUAUAACAUGGCAAAUGAUAGACCCGGUGAAGAAGGAAUGACAGUUGUGCAGAGGGUUAAGGGGUGUGGUUACAACGUGGCAAUAAGAGAAAGACCCGGUAAAGAAGGAUUGAACGUUGUGUGGGCUUUCCAUGUAUGAAUACUACUGGCAGUGUUACAGUGUGCUGAUAUGUGCUUUGUAAACAGCAGGCCAAGUGGUCCAUUAGAAAAGGGCUGGAUAGAUUAUCAAACAAUGAGGGAAGCAAGGAAGAGCUCGGGACGACGGCGUAAUGAUUAGCCGUCUUCAAGUAGAAGAUCCGGACAACCAUAAGGGCGUGUGAUUUUUUUUCCGAUGCAAUGCAUGGGCGCCACGACCGACCUCAACCUUCGGAUUUUACAGUACUGUAGUAUUCAUAGAAGUCUACUUUUUUGUUUGUAUUCGUAGUAAAUUAUAGUUAAUUGAUGACUAACCUGAUGAAGGAUUUACUGUCCUAUAGCUUCUAUAAUUUACCGCACUAUAAUUUUUUUGAUUGUUUGAAUUUACAGCGACCUUAUGUUUGAAUUUACACUACCCUGUAACUUCUGUAAUUUAUAGUAGUAGCCUAAAGGUUGUGAUUUU